rnacentral:lncRNA from 13 species
GGAGAAACAAAUCAUAGCAUAAAGGAAAUUAGUGCUCAUGGUAACGUUAGGGACAAGAAUGAAGGAGAUCAUUUGAACUGAAGAAUUUCUUGGCACAUAUUAAAGUAAGCCAGUAUUACUGGGCUUGAUUUUCCUUUCCUGGCUUGUGAGGAUACAGAAGAGCAUUCUCCUGAGCUGCAAAGAGACAGAGUUUUCCUCUUGUUGUCAAGGCUGGAGUGCAAUGGCAAGAUCUCAGCUCACUGCAACCUCUGCCUCCUAGGUUCAAGCGAUUCUCCCGCCUCAGCCUCCUGAGUAGCUGGGAUUACAGUUUCUCUUUUAGCACAUUCUCACCAAGACCAGUAGCAAAUGAGCCAAUCAUCAUUACAAUGUAUCUGAAGUACCCAAGGAUGUAAUUCCAGCAACCAAUGCAAACACAGUGGUGCACUUGGAGGUGAAAGUAAAGUUCAUGGUUCUGAUCCUAGCUUAAUUCAGCACAUUAUCUCCUAGCUUUAAAGAAAACCACACAUCUACAACCAUCUGAUCUUUGACAAACUUGAUGAAAACAAGCAAUGGAGAAAGAAUUCCCUGUUUAAUCAAUGAU